CAAUAGCGUAUAUUAAAGUUGUUGCGGUUAAAAAGCUCGUAGUUGGAUUUCUGUUGAGAACGUCCGGUCCGCACUAUGUGCGUGUAUCUGGUUCGGUCUUGGCAUCCUCUUGAGGAACGUAUCUGCGCUUGAUUGCGUGGAGCGGUAUUCAAGACUUUUACUUUGAGGAAAUUAGAGUGUUCACGGCAGGCAAGCGCCUUGAAUACGUUAGCAUGGAAUAAUAAUAUAGGAUCUUGGUUCUAUUUUGUUGGUUUCUAGGGCUAAGGUAAUGAUUAAUAGGGAUAAUUGGGGGCAUUUGUAUUAACGCGUCAGAGGUGGAAUUCUUGGAUUGCGUUACGACAAACUACUGCGAAANGANNNGCCAAGGAUGUUUUCAUNGA
rnacentral:rRNA from 1 species